rnacentral:piRNA from 1 species
UUCUUGCUCUUCCCGCUUCUC